GUGGAUUAGCUAUAAAAUUUGAAGCAAUUAUGCUUGAUGCUGCUCCAGACAACAAGGUAGGAAGGAGAGACUGCUCCAAUUCAUGAUUAGGACACAAAAUCAUAAAAUGAUAUUCACCUUUUAACAGUUGAUUUAAUGUAAUUGGAUUGAUUUUACUGACAUAGAUAGUCCAGCCAACGGUUAAGACCUACUGAAGAAGGCAGAAAGUAAAUGAAAAAGUAAAAAAUAAAUGAGUGAUCAGGCCCCCAAGGUGCAUAA
rnacentral:misc_RNA from 1 species